rnacentral:rRNA from 1 species
CAGGACGAACGCUGGCGGCGUGCCUAAUACAUGCAAGUCGAACGGUCUUUCUAUGGAAGCUUGCUUCCACUGAGAAGAUAGUGGCGAACGGGUGAGUAACACGUGGGGUAACCUGCCCAUAAGAGGGGGGAUAACAUCCGGAAACGGGUGCUAAUACCGCAUAGUUUUCUUGAUCGCAUGAUCGGGAAAGGAAAGACGGCCUUUGUGCUGUCGCUUAUGGAUGGACCCGCGGCGUAUUAGUUAGUUGGUGAGGUAACGGCUCACCAAGACGAUGAUACGUAGCCGACCUGAGAGGGUGAUCGGCCACAUUGGGACUGAGACACGGCCCAAACUCCUACGGGAGGCAGCAGUAGGGAAUCUUCCGCAAUGGACGAAAGUCUGACGGAGCAACGCCGCGUGAGUGAAGAAAAGGUCUUCGGAUCGUAAAACUCUGUUGUCAGAGAAGAACAAGUUGGAGAGUAACUGCUCCAGCCCUGACGGUAUCUGACCAGAAAGCCACGGCUAACUACGUGCCAGCCGCGGC